UGCGUAAUACGGAGGAAGUGGGGAUGACGUCAAAUCAUCAUGCCCCUUAUGACCUGGGCUACACACGUGCUACAAUGGUUGGUACAACGAGUUGCGAGUCGGUGACGGCGAGCUAAUCUCUUAAAGCCAAUCUCAGUUCGGAUUGUAGGCUGCAACUCGCCUACAUGAAGUCGGAAUCGCUAGUAAUCGCGGAUCAGCACGCCGCGGUGAAUACGUUCCCGGGCCUU
rnacentral:rRNA from 1 species